rnacentral:rRNA from 1 species
GACGAACGCUGGCGGCGUGCUUAACACAUGCAAGUCGAACGCUGAAGCUUGGUGCUUGCACUGGGUGGAUGAGUGGCGAACGGGUGAGUAAUACGUGAGUAACCUGCCCUUGACUCUGGGAUAAGCCUGGGAAACUGGGUCUAAUACUGGAUACGACAUGUCACCGCAUGGUGGUGUGUGGAAAGGGUUUUACUGGUUUUGGAUGGGCUCACGGCCUAUCAGCUUGUUGGUGGGGUAAUGGCUCGCCAAGGCGACGACGGGUAGCCGGCCUGAGAGGGUGACCGGCCACACUGGGACUGAGACACGGCCCAGACUCCUACGGGAGGCAGCAGUGGGGAAUAUUGCACAAUGGGCGGAAGCCUGAUGCAGCGACGCCGCGUGAGGGAUGACGGCCUUCGGGUUGUAAACCUCUUUCAGCACGGAAGAAGCGAAAGUGACGGUACGUGCAGAAGAAGCGCCGGCUAACUACGUG